rnacentral:rRNA from 1 species
CACGUAGGGGGCAAGCGUUGUCCGGAUUUAUUGGGCGUAAAGAGCUCGUAGGUGGUUCGGUAAGUCAGGUGUGAAAGCUCCAGGCUCAACCUGGAGACGCCACUUGAUACUGCUGUGACUGGAGUCCGGUAGGGGAGCGUGGAAUUCCUGGUGUAGCGGUGAAAUGCGCAGAUAUCAGGAGGAACACCAGCGGCGAAGGCGGCGCUCUGGGCCGGUACUGACACUGAGACGCGAAAGCGUGGGGAGCGAACAGG